UCUGAUGGGACAUAGAGCAUGCGGUGGCGGCUCGCUCCUGCUUUCGAACAUCAUUAUAAAACAUGCUGCACAAUCUCAGAGCUCGUUUUUAGCAGCCCUGCAUUAGACGGGCUGGCCUCUCUGCACCGACAAGCAAAUGCAUUAGGUAAAUUCAAAUAUUUUGCACGCUACAAUGGAUCCUCUCUCAAUAAUGCUUCCCAGGAAGGGGAGGCUGUACGCGUUCCUACUGUUCGCUGCAGUGUGGAGCCUGGCUUUGUCGGUUACAAGGUAUUCCAUCCCCGAAGAAAUCGAGGUGGGAUCCGUUAUUGCAAAUCUAGCCACAGAUCUUGGACUCGACAUUAGCAGCCUUGGAGAACGAAACGUGAAGCUCGAGAUCAUCCAAGACAUCAACAAGAGAUAUCUAGAUAUCAACAAAGAGACCGGGGAUAUGUUUAUUCUGGAAAAGAUAGACAGAGAAUAUCUGUGCCCGACAAAGACUGUAUCAUCUUGUUUUCUCAAAAUGGAUGUCAUAAUUGAGAAUCCGGUACGUAUAUUUAACGUUGAAUUAGAAAUUCUGGACAUAAAUGACAAUGCACCUCAGUUUAGGAGAGAAACAAUGCACUUAGAUAUUUCGGAGUCUGCGUCACCAGGUGAACGAUUCUCUAUUACAAACGCCGUAGAUAUGGACGUGGGCAAGAAUUCAAUUGAAACGUAUUAUUUAAGCCAGAGCGAACAUUUUACCAUUGACCUACAAUCGGGGAGUGAUGGGACCAAAUAUGUAGAUUUAGUUUUAAAAAAGGAGCUUGAUCGGGAAAAGCAGGCUAUUCACAAUCUCAUUCUGACAGCUGUAGACGGCGGGGACCCUCCGCGAUCCGGUACUGCCAGCAUUGUAGUUCAGAUUCUGGAUACGAAUGACAACGCCCCUCAAUUUGACAGGCAAGUUUACUCUGUCGACUUAAUUGAAAACGCAUCAGCCGGUACUUUAGUAAUGAAACUUAACGCAACCGAUAAGGACGAGGGUUCAAACGCAGAGCUGACAUAUUCGUACACUUUGUACACAUCCGAGAAGACCCAGGAGAAAUUUUCCUUAGAUUCGAACACAGGAGAAAUCAGAGUAAAAGGAGUGAUUGACUUUGAGGAGAUUAAAAGUUUUGAAAUGUACAUUGAAGCCAAAGACAAGGGUCAGCAACCUCUCUCUGGACAGUGUAAAAUACUGGUGUUUAUCACAGAUCUAAAUGACAACCAUCCUGAAAUUACAGUCAAAUCUCUGAAGAGGUCAAUAGAGGAAAAUGCUGCUGUAGGAACAGUGUUAGCGGUUGUGAGUGUAAGUGACAGAGAUUCCGGAGAUAAUGGUAAAGUGGAUUUAACUAUCCAUGAUAGAUUUAAUCUACCCUUCCUACUCAACAAGUCCUCUGAGGAGUAUUUUUCUUUGCUUGUGUCUGAACCUUUGGACCGUGAGAGAGUCGCCAAUUAUGACAUUACAUUUAAAGUGAAAGACAGGGGCACACCAUCUCUGUCCGACAAUGAGACAAUAAGAUUAGAAAUACUGGAUGUCAAUGACAACGCGCCCCAAUUCCCAGAGUCUUUCUACACUAUCCAUGUCAUGGAGAAUAAUGAGCCUGGGACACUGUUAAGCUCGCUCUCGGCGCAUGAUCCCGACCUGAACGAAAACCAGUAUCUUGUCUACUUCAUUAUGGAGAAGAUGAUUGCCAACACAUCCAUGUCCAUGCUUUUCUCAAUCAAUCCGGAGAAUGGUAACCUGUACGCACUCAAGACAUUUGACUAUGAGAGAGAGAGGGAGUAUCUGUUCCACAUCGAGGCAAGGGACUCUGGGGUUCCUCCACUGAGCAGCAAUGUGACCGUCCACAUCAUCAUCCUGGACCAGAAUGACAACACCCCACAAAUCGUGUCCCCCUGGAGUGCCAAAGGGACAGUCAUCGAGGAGGUCAUCCCCAGGUCCUUCGAGAAAGGUUCACUCCUCACCAAAGUCAUCGCUCUGGAUGCAGACUCCGUGCAGAACUCACGCAUUACCUAUCAGUUCCUCCAGGUGACGGACGCCACCCUGUUCAGCCUGAAUCAGUACAACGGUGAGGUGCGGACCACCCGCAUGUUCAGCUACAGAGAUCCCCGCUACCAGCGACUGGUCAUCACCGCCAGGGACAACGGUGACCCUCCCCUCUCCGCCACGGUCACCAUAAAGAUCACCACUGUGGAGCAGGUGGUCACCGAAUUCUCAGAAACCACGGAGAUCCCUCUUCACUACGACCUUUUCACCGACUUAAAUCUGUACCUGGUCAUCGGCUUGGGGUCAGUGUCCUUCCUGCUGCUGAUCACCAUCCUGGUCAUAAUCGUGCUGAAGUGUCAGAAGCCCAAGCCGACCAAGCCGCCAUCCAACAGGAACAGCGUGGCCAGUCAGAGGAACUCCACCAUCGCCGACUCCACACUGAUCUCCAGCGAUGCCUACUGGUACAGCCUGUUCCUGGCCGAGACCCGGAAGGGUAAGGUGGUGGUGAGGCAGCCGCUGCCCAACGGCGCCGGCUACUUCGUGUCCAGCAUACCCAGGAGCAUGGCCCUUACGACGACCAGCGAAUCACGGUCCUCCACGUUACAGUACUCAAAAUGAAAGGAAGCCCAUUCUGCAGCUGGAGGUAUGCUGGUUGCUGACUCGGUGUUGUAGGAGCUCUGUGAUUUGGAGUCAAGCAGCGACCUGCCAUGACCCCAAAAUGCCAGCUCUCUCUCUCUCUCUCUGUCUCUCUCUCUCUCUCUCUCUCCCUCUCUUUCUCUCUCACUCUGCACUAAGAUGACUUCCAUCCCCUCCAAUAAUGUCACAAAAAACUCUACUCUUCAUAUACCUGAAGGAGGAGCUCAGUGGACCUCUGAUAUGAGAGAGACAGUCAAACAGUUACCUCAGUAAGAUGAAAGAUGCCCUCAAUAUCUCCCAUCAAGCAUGAUGCUGCAUGGCAACAGCAGAAGCUGCAAACGUACAUUUGUAAAUACACAGGUAAUGCUUUGCAUGAAAUUUCCCUUAACUAACAUAAAUAACGUUGGGUUAAUUAACUUAUGAAUUGAAUGAUGUUAGUUCAGAGAUGCUGGAUGCACUGAUAGAAGCCAAUGUUUUAUUUAACAUAAAAAACAUAACCAGCAGAUGUUACCAUUCAAAAUAGUUCAUAAAUUCUGAAGGUUGGGGGUGGUUGGAUUCAUGUUAGUUAUUGGAGCAUUAAUGUAAAGCCUUACUUAUGUAUAUAUUUAAAGUGUUUCACCAAAAAAGAUGUACAUGCUGAGUCAUCUUAGGCAUACAGCUUUCAUAAUGCUUGACUGUAUCUAACAGACAGUGGUCACACAAAUGUGUAUUUCUCCAUGUUUCACCAUAUUGUUUGUAAUGAUAAGUAUCAGAUUACAGUGAAAAUAUCAAAUCUGUACAAAUCCACAGGGUCUUAGGUCACAGCUUAUAGUUCUGUGACAAAUCUAUAAGAAGUGGUUCAUGAUUCCUAUACUAGUAGAUCAAGUAAUAGGAUUAUGAAUCACUAGCAGAAGCAUUUCAAACCUUUAAGGUUGCCCGGUGCUUGGCCAUACUGGUAGCCAUCUAGGUGUUGGGCAGGUAUAUAAUAUAUAUAUUAUAUAUAUAUAUAUUACAAAAUGUUAAAAACUGGAUACUAUCUAUGACCCUUAAGUGCAUUUAACUGGGCUGCUGAGAUACAUGCACCCUUGGAGACAGACAUUGUAGAUACUUUCUUCUUGUCUAGUCUUUUUUCUAUGAGCCCAUCUAUGCUCUGUACGGCAGAGAAUCAAAUCUCAGGCCAGCAUUAAAAACGCCAGACCACAGCCACCACGGCCCGUGCUUAAAGUACAAUAUAAAGGUGCAGUAAGGUACAGAAUGGUAUGUUAUUUAACCAGAAAUAACCAAAAAAUAACACCACAGACAUUGUGGAGGAGAUCACAUGGAGUACAAGCAAACACAGAACCACUGGCUGACUUCAUAUUAAUGCAGGUCCAGGGAGCAUAAGCAUUACGUAGCUUUUGUAAAAGAAAAAAAGGCCUCCUGUGCCAUACAGGUUCAGUGUUACACUCACAGCUAUUUGCACUGUGACAAUAUGCCAGCUACUUCCUGUAGUUUUUAAAUCAAUAAAACCAUGAAGUCAUUAUUCUAACAUCCACAGUAUAGAACCAUAGCGACACACAUUUUAAAAGACUGUUUAACUAAAGAAAGUAAUGUAUAAAUGUAAGUACUUUGUUAUUCAAUUUGCAUUAACAGUGCAAAAGAUUUUUGUUAAUUGAAACAGUAUUGGCUAAGUCAUAAUUUACAUUGUUUUAAUAUGAAUGAUAAUAUCAGAGCGUUAAGUGCACAUUGUGCAAUUUCAUCUGCGCUUCAAACAUGGGCUUUCCAAUAUCAAAGUGCCAUUUAUCUUUACAAACAUUUUAUUAUGACAGUGAAAUGAGUAAUGUAUUUGUUUGAGGGAAAUUACACACGUCAACAAAAGUUAAAAUAGCACAUCUUUAUCUGUUGCAUACUGCAAGAGUUUAGGAUUCCUGUAAAGGCCAAGAUCCCAUCCAUUGAUAUGCUCAGUGCAGACUGGGGUUCAAUAAUCCUAAUUUAUUGGGGUUCAGUAAUCCUAAUUUACUGGAGUUCAGCAAUCCUAAUUUACUGGGGUUCUUGCCAUCGCACAACAGGUGAGCUGUUAAAAUGACAGAAUGUUGCUUUAAUUCUGAUAAAGUUUGACAGAGCAAAUCCCUCUGAAAGCUGCUUUUUCCAUAUCAAGUGCAUUGUGUAAAGGAUUGUGUUAGUGGUGAAACGUCUUUGUCAGAUUUAGUUUUAGAGAAGGAGUUUAUCAUCAUGGGGCUUAUAUUAUAGAGAAGAAGCAUUUUUGGGAGAUGACUCACGAGUGAACGUAGAGCACAUUUCCACACCUGGUCUGUGCCGUGAAUCAUCCGUGCAGGAGUUAAACAAGCCAUCCAUCAGUGUGACAGAGGGAGCGGGGGAGGGAGGAAAGGUGCACAGCACAUCAGAAAAAAACUGGGUCAUUUGUUCCUGUUUAGAUUCCUCCAAGACUCCCCAAUGCUCUCUCUCUCUCUCUCUCUCUCUUUCUCCUUUAUUUUCCUUAGACUCCCCAUUUCUAUAUCACAGUUAUGUUGGUUAUUGUCUGAUUAUGGUAUUUAUUUGUUAUUUUUAAUAUUAUGAUAUCUUAAUUAUAUGUCUUAUGUAAAAAAAAGGACAAGUUGAAUAAUGAUUUGCCAUGUCGCAAAAAUAGGAAAAGUUUAUUUCAGACUGUAUGAGGAAACUUUUUUUGAAAUACUGCUUUAACGUGAUGUUUCUGCCUAAAAUAAAGAUGCUAAAGUCUCCAUGUAAGAGAUGAGGGUCAUGUGAGGUUGUUGCGUGUUGUAUGGCUGUAACCAUUCUCACGCAGAGAGGACUGAGGGAUUUCUCUACUUAGAAAACUCAUGACGAUGUAUUUAGUUUUUAAUAUCUGCAGGGAAUGUCACUUAAAUUGAAAUAUGUCAAAAAAUGUGUAAAUCCCUUGAACAUGUUGUUUUUUUCAGUUUAUUUUCUCUCUCUCUAUUUUCUCCCUAACCUUCUCCCUUUUUAUACUCUCUCUCUCUCUCUCUCUUUCCCAUCUCUCUCAUCAUUCUCAUAUGUUUGAUCUAAUCCAGCCAGACACACAGCUGCCCUGUCAUAUGGUCACUGUGUCAGUAACACUGACACACCUAGAGUCGGCCCACACACACACACUUAUGGCAUGACGGAAAGCUCACAGCGACCCGGGUUCAAAAUCCACCAAACAGAAUAAUCUCACAAGCCGCUUCCAAAUCUCUGGCUCUGUUGCAGAGCGGACAGGGGCCCGUAGCUCCGGUCUGAGGUUGUUAUUAUCGUUCCCACGCAGAGAGAGAGUCUCCAGGGCCAUCUGUGUGUUCGCCAAGAUCCCAGGCAAUAAUGGCAGACCCUCUAAGCUGGCCACCUCUUAGCCAAAUACCGUGACCUGGUUUGUAGCACAUGACUCUGUCAUGAGGAUAAAGAUUCUGUGUGUGUGUGUGUGUGUGUGUGUGUGUGUGUGUGAGAAUGUCGGUGUCAGUUGAGCUUACAACCUGUACAUAAUGGGCACCAUUUUAUUGACAUGGCAACCACUCCACACAGCUGCCCUCUUUUUUACUCCGUGUUCUUAAAAGAUUUGUUCUCCAACCCCAGCAGCCUCACUUCGGUCUUUCCAAUACUUGCUCAGGACAGGUGAUGGUGAUGGGCCAUGUGGAACACAAACACAAACACAAUAACUACAGAUAAAGCCUGUCAGAGUGCUCAUGCGUUGUCCAUCCAAAUGCCACUCCGUACUUGAGUUAGGUGUCGGGACUGUUUCACAUUUCUUUUACUGCUCAGAAUCCCUGCAUGGCUUUCUGUGGACUGUGAAGGCAUACUAAUCUUAUUGACAGGUUGCUAUGGUCGCAAGAUUUUAGUUGCCCUUCUGUUUUUUUUAUUAAAAUAACUGCACAGUGUACUCUUCCCUUUGUCCUUACUACUGCUAUUCUACCGCUUUGUAAAUGUUCUGCUUGUAUAUACUGCAAAGUGAAUAAAAGGUUUAUCAUUA